rnacentral:rRNA from 1 species
GUGGGGAAUCUUGCGCAAUGGGCGAAAGCCUGACGCAGCCAUGCCGCGUGAAUGAUGAAGGUCUUAGGAUUGUGAAAUUCUUUCACCGGGGACGAUAAUGACGGUACCCGGAGAAGAAGCUCCGGCUAACUUCGUGCCAGCAGCCGCGGUAAUACGAAGGGGGCUAGCGUUGCUCGGAAUUACUGGGCGUAAAGGGCGCGUAGGCGGACAGCUUAGUCAGAGGUGAAAGCCCAGGGCUCAACCUUGGAAUUGCCUUUGAUACUGGCUGUCUUGAGUUUGGGAGAGGUGAGUGGAACUCCGAGUGUAGAGGUGAAAUUCGUAGAUAUUCGGAAGAACACCAGUGGCGAAGGCGACUCACUGGCCCAAUACUGACGCUGAGGCGCGAAAGCGUGGGGAGCAAACAGGAUUAGAAACCCCAGUAGUCC